rnacentral:rRNA from 1 species
AGAGUUUGAUCCUGGCUCAGGACGAACGCUGGCGGCGUGCCUAACACAUGCAAGUCGAGCGAGGAACUUCGGUUCCUAGCGGCGGACGGGUGAGUAACACGUGGGUAACCUGCCUCAAAGAGGGGGAUAGCCUCCCGAAAGGGAGAUUAAUACCGCAUAACAUUAAGCUACUGCAUGGUAGUUUAAUCAAAGGAGUAAUCCGCUUUGAGAUGGACCCGCGGCGCAUUAGCUAGUUGGUGAGGUAACGGCUCACCAAGGCAACGAUGCGUAGCCGACCUGAGAGGGUGAUCGGCCACAUUGGAACUGAGACACGGUCCAGACUCCUACGGGAGGCAGCAGUGGGGAAUAUUGCACAAUGGGCGAAAGCCUGAUGCAGCAACGCCGCGUGAGUGAUGAAGGCCUUCGGGUUGUAAAGCUCUGUCUUUGGGGACGAUUAUGACGGUACCCAAGGAGGAAGCCACGGCUAACUACGUGCCAGCAGCCGCGGUAAUACGUAGGUGGCAAGCGUUGUCCGGAUUUACUGGGCGUAAAGGAUGCGUAGGCGGAUAUUUAAGUCAGAUGUGAAAACCCCGGGCUCAACUUGGGGACUGCAUUUGAAACUGGAUAUCUAGAGUGCGGGAGAGGAAAGUGGAAUUCCUAGUGUAGCGGUGAAAUGCGUGGAGA